UGAGGGAUCGUUCAAUGGCAGGACUACGGGUUCUGGCCCCGUCGAUCUAGGUUCGAAUCCUAGUCCCUCAGCCA
rnacentral:tRNA from 1 species